rnacentral:rRNA from 1 species
UUGGGUAGUUUUCCUGCUUUCCAUGAGACAUAAAAUCCAUCUGAAGCCAAGCAGGUUUGGGACUGGCUAAUACUUGUAUGGGAGACCAACUUGGAAAGCUGGGUUGCUGCUGGAG